rnacentral:Y_RNA from 1 species
AGUCUGGUCUGAGUGCAGGGGUGUUUACAACUACUGAUCACAAGCAGUUCCAGAUUUCUUUGUUCCUUCUCCACUCUCACUGUUUCACUUUUCUAUCUUUAA